GAUGAACGCUGGCGGCGUGCCUAAUACAUGCAAGUCGAGCGAACAGAUAAGGAGCUUGCUCCUUUGACGUUAGCGGCGGACGGGUGAGUAACACGUGGGUAACCUACCUAUAAGACUGGAAUAACUCCGGGAAACCGGGGCUAAUGCCGGAUAACAUUUAGAACCGCAUGGUUCUAAAGGGAAAGAUGGUUGUGCUAUCACUUAUAGAUGGACCCGCGCCGUAUUAGCUAGUUGGUAAGGUAAUGGCUUACCAAGGCAACGAUACGUAGCCGACCUGAGAGGGUGAUCGGCCACACUGGAACUGAGACACGGUCCAGACUCCUACGGGAGGCAGCAGUAGGGAAUCUUCCGCAAUGGGCGAAAGCCUGACGGAGCAACGCCGCGUGAGUGAUGAAGGGUUUCGGCUCGUAAAACUCUGUUAUUAGGGAAGAACAAACGUGUAAGUAACUGUGCACGUCUUGACGGUACCUAAUCAGAAAGCCACGGCUAACUACGUGCCAGCAGCCGCGGUAA
rnacentral:rRNA from 1 species